rnacentral:lncRNA from 1 species
UGGCGGGGAUGAACUACGACCUCGUCAUCGAGGCCACGGACGGCGCCGCCAAGGGGAGGUACGAGGCGGUGGUCUACGAGCGGGCCUGGGAGAAUUACAGGAGCCUCACCUCCUUCAAGCGCAAGACCUGAACACGACGACGACGGUGGCACGGUGAGUAAUGGCUGACAUUCCCUACUCUGACUGAUAUGCUGGGAAGAAAACUUCGGCAGAAACCGACUGUUCAUCUCCGGAUGCUGUGAUCCGGUUUCCUUCCUUCCUCUCUCCUUCUGUGAUUGUUCCCGCUUUCUCACUGCCCGAAAAGGGGGAAAUCGCCGUGCUGAAGAUGAUGGAGUGGCUCUUGGAGGCUCCGCCCCCUCCGCCAGAGCAGCCGAGGAAGAAAUCAAACCAGACGGAUGCCUGAAUUACAGUUACUGACGUCAUAAAAUGCCUAAAUUGCCUUGAAACCCUAAUCGACCUGUUGACCCGCGAUGGUGAACUCGUAGAAGAAGAUUAUCACAAAGUCUAUCCGAGUGGUCAUAAGGUUGAACUUUGUUCCCAAUCGAUUGGGUCAUGCAAAUAGCAAUGUUACCUUUGAUUUUCACAAUGCCUCGAUCUUUGAAUGAGUAUGAGGUGGAGAAAUUUAGGUUUUUGAAACCAUAAAUAACCUAAUUAAUGAAAGAAAUAUG